GUAUCACCCAUCUUUUUCGAACCCUAAUGGAGUCUCUCAAGAAAAACACAAGACGAGGCAGGGAGACAGUGGAAAAACUUGAGCAACGAGGCUUCGGAGUUUGAAACCGUCAACCAAUCAGAAUUUGGAAAAAUAAAAUGUUGGCCUCUCGUUCUCUGAUGUACAAAUAAUGGUAGUACUUACUUACCGUCCCAUGUUCAGUUUCUAUUGGCAAAUCGCAAUAAUUCACCCUGAUUUUGAUUCACCGUCUCCACAGCACUUGAAGCUGCAACACGUAGGCACCUGUCAGCUAAGGCACAAUACAGACGAGGUGAGGUGACAAUAACCAGACAUGGACCGUGUGGAGGUCUGAUAAAGGAGCACCAACGAGGGCUAACCUAACAGAAUAUUAGAAAGAACAGGAAGCACAGACUUAUCAGUUUUCAUUUCUUAGCACAUCGAUCGAGGGAUGCUCUGCCAAGUGGAGCUCAUUGACCGAACUCUUCUAUUUGUGAAGUUUAUGCAACAAGUAAGUCCCUUUCGUUCUUAUAUACAAAGUUAAAUGGAUGUAGGGUUCCACAAUUAACGUAAAAUUAAUAAACCGUGUUGAGUUUAAUUACUUGAUGUAAGAAUUUGGCUAGUGGUAGGUCAGGGUUGGCAUUGUCCCAUCUAGAUUAGGGAGUGGAAUUAGAAAAUCUGAAGUGGGGUCGUCGCAUAAAAAUUAUAAAGACAGACUUGAAAAUGAAUGAAAGUGAAAAAAGAUUGGAGAACAGUUAUGUAGCUUGAUUUGGCGAGGGGGGAGGGCAAGUGCGUUAACUAUCAUUAAAAGGUCGGCUAAUUGUGUCCUUGAAGUACUUUUCAAGAGUCAUUUAAUCAAUACUUAUAAGUAAUUAUAAUGUUUAUUUUUUAUUUUAAACACUUAAAAUAUUACCAAAUAAAACAAUGUUUAUUUAAAUAUUAAACAAAUGCAUUCAUAUAAUGUUUUUUUCUCGAA